ensembl:lncRNA novel transcript, overlapping to ARPC2 and GPBAR1
UUGAGAUAACUGUAGAUUUAAAUACGGUUGUAAGAAACAAUACAGAGAGAUCCUGUAUACCUUCCACUUGGUUCCCCCACCAUGCUAACAUCUUGUAUAAUUGUUGUAUAACAUCACAGCCAAGAAAAAAUCAUUAGUAUAGUCCACACACCUUCAGAUUUGGCCGGAUUUACGUGCACUGUAUGAGAUGUACAUCUGUGCAUUUUUAUCAUACGUGUAGCUUUGUGUGACGCCAGCAUUUUUAAGCAAUUGAAUAGUAUCAGAGUGCAUUACAUCUGUUAAGGGUAAGUGUUGAUGUGGAAACGUAUUUUAGUUACAUAUGCACAUCAUGACUGGAUUGUAGAAAUGUCUCUUGACUGUGAGUCACAGUGGAGAAUUUUGAAAACCACAGGUCGUUCAGUCAUCAGACUUGAUUUUAUUUCACUAAAAUGGGCUGCUAGAGAGCUCAAGGUACUCUGAUUUCUAAUUGGCUGCUCAGGGUGCCCCUGACCACUUACUUCUGGUACUUGGAAAACCUAGAUUAAUUGGAUAUAUUGACAGCAACAUAUGCAUUCUCUACCCCAUGAGUUAUUUAAGGGGUUUUCAAGUGUAAUUUUGACUAGAAGCAGUUUUUGCUCUUUUUUUGUUUUAAUUUUAGUUUUUAGAGACAGGGUCUCACUGUGUUGCCGAGGCUGUACUCAAGCUCCUGACCUCCGGAGUAGCUGGAACUACAGGCACCUGCCACUAUGUCCAGCUGAGUUUUUGCUUUCUUCCUUAGUAGAACAUAACUAAUGUUGGAGCUCACUGUACUCUUUUGCCAGUAGUAGGAAUCCGAUUUCUGGUAAGUACUGUAGGUGACAGAACCAAGGUUGCUUAGAAGAUAUGGAGUUAGGAGAAAAAUGAAAAGGCAUAAAUAUUUUCUACAGCAGUAAAUCCUAAGGAAGUAACUAGUUCCAAGACACUGUCAACAUUAAAAAUCCAUAGUGCAGGCUGAGCACAGUGGCUCACACCUGUAAUCGUAGCACUUUGUGAGGAUGAGGAAGGAGGAUUGCUUGAUCCCGGGAGUUUGAGACCAGCCUGGGUAACGGUGAGACUCCUUCUCCAUCUCUAUAAAAAUAAAUCUGGCUGGGCACGGUGGCUCACGCCUGUAAUCCCAGCACUUUGGGAGGCCAAUGCGGGUGGAUCACCUGAGGUCAGGAGUUUGAGACCAGCCUGGCCAACAUGGUGAAACCCCAUCUCUACUAAAAAAAAAUUAGCUGGGCAUGGUGGCGGGUGCCUGUAAUCCCAGCUACUCGGGAGGCGGAGGCAGGAGAAUCACUUGAACCCAGGAGGCGGAGGUUGCAGUGAGCCAAGAUACGCCAUUGCACUCCAGCCUGGACAACAAGAGCGAAACUCUGUCUCAAAAAUAAAUAAAUGUGUAGUGCAGCCUGGACAACAUGGCAAGACCCUGCCUCUACAAAAAAUAAAAAUCGGCUGGAUGUGGUGGUGCAUGCCUGUGGUCCCAGCUACUCAAGAGGCUGAGGCAGGAGGAUUGCUUGAGCCCUGAAGGUCAAGGCUGCAAUGAGCUGUGUCGUGCCACUCCACUCCAGCCUGGGCAACAGAGUGAGACCCUGUCCCAGAAAAAAGAAAAAUCCAUACUGGUGUAAACCCGUAUCCAGAUUGACUCUUCUCUUAACAAGGACACACUUGGCGUUAGUAUGGAUCUAGCCUCAAAGACCCUCGUCACAGAUGAAGCAGCCCAUCGUGACCAGUCGAGGCCUUAGGACCGCAGGAGGAAUGUCUCAGGAUGAGGGUCAAGCACACUGAGGGUGUGGGCUGGAAAAAAGGGAUCUAGUUGUUUCUUCCUAGUCUCAGGAAGCCAGUGCCCCAAGGGUUCACACCUGGUAAGUGUAGGCGUCCUUGGAUAUGGGCUGUAGAGGAACAGUUUGAAUCCAGGUGCCGCCAUCUAAUAGCUAUGUGACAGCAAAUUUCUUAAUCUGAGCCCUGGUAGCCUCAUUUAAAUUGGACAUAAUGCCACCUACCUGAGGAUUUGUAAAAGGAAAAGAGAAUAAAUGUCUGUUACAUCAUAA